CGCUUAACACAUGCAAGUCGAACGAGAUCUUCGGAUCUAGUGGCAGACGGGUGAGUAACGCGUGGGAACCUGCCCUUUAGUAGAGAAUAACUCGGGGAAACUCGAGCUAAUACUUUAUACGCCCUUCGGGGGAAAGCUUUAUGCGCUAUUGGAUGGGCCCGCGUUAGAUUAGUUUGUUGGUGAGGUAAUGGCUCACCAAGACUACGAUCUAUAGCUGGUCUGAGAGGAUGAUCAGCCACACUGGGACUGAGACACGGCCCAGACUCCUACGGGAGGCAGCAGUGGGGAAUAUUGGACAAUGGGGGCAACCCUGAUCCAGCGAUGCCGCGUGAGUGAUGAAGGCCCUAGGGUUGUAAAGCUCUUUUGUCAGGGAAGAUAAUGACGGUACCUGAAGAAUAAGAUCCGGCUAACUCCGUGCCAGCAGCCGCGGUAAUACGGAGGGAUCUAGCGUUAUUCGGAAUUACUGGGCGUAAAGCGAGCGUAGGCUGAUUUGUAAGUUGGAUGUGAAAUCCCAGAGCUUAACUCUGGAACUGCAUCCAAAACUACAUUUCUUGAGUUUGGUAGAGGAGAGUGGAAUUCCUAGUGUAGAGGUGAAAUUCGUAGAUAUUAGGAGGAACACCAGUGGCGAAGGCGACUCUCUGGGCCAAUACUGACGCUGAGGUUCGAAAGCGUGGGUAGCGAACAGGAUUAGAUACCCUGGUAGUCCACGCAGUAAACGAUGAAUGCUAGAUGUUGGAAACAUUAGUUUUCAGUAUCGCAGCUAACGCAUUAAGCAUUCCGCC
rnacentral:rRNA from 1 species